rnacentral:tRNA from 1 species
GAAGGAUUUCUUAAAAAAAAUGUUGUAAUUUUUUACUUCUUUUUUAUUUUAAGACUUUUGUGUUGGUUUUU